rnacentral:rRNA from 1 species
UACGUAGGGUGCAAGCGUUGUCCGGAAUUAUUGGGCGUAAAGAGCUCGUAGGCGGUUCGUCGCGUCGGCUGUGAAAACCCGGAGCUCAGCUCCGGGCCUGCAGUCGAUACGGGCGGACUAGAGUUCGGCAGGGGAGACUGGAAUUCCUGGUGUAGCGGUGAAAUGCGCAGAUAUCAGGAGGAACACCGGUGGCGAAGGCGGGUCUCUGGGCCGAUACUGACGCUGAGGAGCGAAAGCGUGGGGAGCGAACAGG